CGUCCCCCCCGCCCCUGUAUCGGACCCGCAGGCUCCGCCUACUUCUGCAUUAGUCCAGCUCUCAGCAGCCGCGGAGCGAGAAGCUCGGUCGAAAAGCCGAAAAGCCGCAGAUGUUUCAUCGACUGCUGUGUCAGACACAAGUCUCCGUCCAAGGAAUAGGGCCUGUGUAACGUGUGUCACGUCCCGGUGAGAAGUUUCACCACGGAAGCUGCAGUUCCAUCGCUCACACAGAGAGCUCUGGUCAUUGGUAACGAACAGCUUGCCCUGUCCUUGUUCUGCAAUGCCCACUCCUUCAACAACGUAGGAGAGUGUUUGCCGAGGCCCCAAGCCCGAGAACAGCAACGCCCGACAAAGCCUCAGACCUUAGAACACAUUCCUCCAACCCCGGCCUUCAGCUGCAGAACGGUGGAAACCCAGCUUGAUUCUGGAUAUCCCCCUUCCCGGGAGCACAGGUCCGCUGGUGGUAGAGUGUGGAUUCUGGAGUUAGAUCGAGAUUGGAAUCUCCGUUCUGUUGUUAAUGAGCUGUGUUACAAUGGUCAAGUUGUCUAAGCUCUCUGAGCCCCCAUCCACUGCCAUGAGCUAAAGUAGCAAAGCCAGCUCUGAAACUCAGUCCCUAUGCACUAGUACUGUCGAACUGAUCAUUAAAACACCAAAAUACUAG